AAUCUAGCUGCUGUUUUUAGCGUUCUGGUGUUUGCUGUCAUCUCAAUGACACUGCUUGUGUAUUGUCUAAAGACCAGGAAGAAAAAAUCCACAGAUAAAAGUGAAAUCUGUGGUUCUCCUAACGCCACCCUGGAGCAGGAUGGCAUUAUCUACUCUAUGGUGGAGUUUAAGCCCCACCAGGAUCCAUCUGAACUUUAUGCCAAUUUGCAGAUACACCGCCCAAAAGACGUUAAUGCUUCUUCAAGCUGUACAGUCACAGUAAAGGAAACCGUAGAAUAUUCCACUAUUAUGAGAGCAUCAGCAUAAACAUUUGCAAUG
rnacentral:lncRNA from 1 species